AGUGAACGCUGGCGGCAGGCCUAACACAUGCAAGUCGAGCGGCAGCACGGUAAGAGCUCGCUCUUACGGGUGGCGACUGGCGGGUGAGUGAGAAAUACAUCGCAAGCUACUUUGUCUGGGGUGAUAACGUGGGGGAACAUACGGUAACAGCGCAUAUGACGAACGGGUGGGAUCAGGGGAGCUUCGGACCUUGGGUGAGUCUAUGAGCCGGUGUCGGAUUGGCUAGUUGGCGGGGUAAAGGCACACCAAGGCGACGAUCCGUAGCGGGUCUGAGAGGAUGAUCAGCCACACUGGAACUGAGACACGGUCCAGACUCCUACGGGAGGCAGCAGUGGGGAAUAUUGGACAAUGGGCGAAAGCCUGAUCCAGCCAUGCCGCGUGGGUGAAGAAGGUCUUCGGAUUGUAAAGCACUUUUAUUGGGGAAGAACAGCAGUAGGUUAAUCCCCCGCUGUUUUGACGGUACCCAAAGAAUAAGCACCGGCUAACUUCGUG
rnacentral:rRNA from 1 species